CCGCCGCUGAGGAAAGGUCGCGCCGCCGGCUGGAGUGCUCCGCGCCACAGAGGAAGGGUCGCCGAAGUCGCUGCCGCUGGAGAGGAAGGUCGCCGCCGUCGCUGCGCUGGAGAGGAAGGUCGCCGCCGCCGGUGGAGAUUUCUAGCGGAAGGUCGCCGUUGCCGCAGGGAGGGGAGGUCGCCGCUGGUGGGUAUGAGGAAGAAGAAGAAGCGCACAAAAAUUUGAAAUGGGAGGAAGAAGAACUGUUCCUAUUCAUAUUCACGUUUAAUUAGGGCUUUUUUUCUUUUUAAUUGUGAAGGCAAAUUUUAGAUUUUUUAAUUGUUAAGUCAAAUUCAG
rnacentral:lncRNA from 1 species